rnacentral:rRNA from 1 species
CCUACGGGAGGCAGCAGUGAGGAAUAUUGGUCAAUGGACGCGAGUCUGAACCAGCCAAGCCGCGUGCAGGAAGACGGCUCUAUGAGUUGUAAACUGCUUUUGUACGGGAGUAAACACAGACACGUGUAUCUGUCUGCAUGUAUCGUACGAAUAAGGAUCGGCUAACUCCGUGCCAGCAGCCGCGGUAAUACGGAGGAUUCGAGCGUUAUCCGGAUUUAUUGGGUUUAAAGGGUGCGUAGGCGGGCGGUUAAGUUAGAGGUGAAAUCUCGAGGCUCAACCUCGGAAUUGCAUGUGAUACUGGUCGUCUAGAGAGCAGUUGCGGUAGGCGGAAUGUAUGGUGUAGCGGUGAAAUGCUUAGAUAUCACGCAGAACACCGAUUGCGAAGGCAGCUUACCGGGCUACAUCUGACGCUGAGGCACGAAAGCGUGGGGAUCAAACAGGAUUAGAUACACCAGUAGUC